ACCGACACGGCAGAAGCCCUUCCUCGCCAGAUCCACGCGCCUGGACCUACGUUCAGUUGCGAUAAAAAGAAAAGCGGCCGGCCGACUCUAUUCCUCUUCCUCGCGUACUCUCCUCUCUCCAUAGAUCUCUCCCCCACCAUGCUACAAAUGCUCAUGAACCGUGCCAUAUGCCCACCAUUCAUCUGCCAUGAUUGCCCUGUAAUUGCAGAAGAAACUGCUGCCCUAAACUGAUCCGGCACCACCUCCAUCUUUAAAAAGCUUACUCUAUUCCAAUUGAGUUCCAGCGCGGCCGCCUCCUCACGUCCAUCUCUGCAAUUGUAAUCCACCAGGUUGUUCCCCGCUCCAGAUCUGAUCGACAUUUUGCCUCCUCCGAUUUGGUUGGAUUUUCAUUGGAUUAUGUGUGUUACUCACUCAAGCCUCCACUGAAUUGGUGCGAUUACAAUUGGAUUCUGGGUGCUGGCCUCAACGGGGGUAACAGCCCACUCCCCAUCCUAAUUCUUCCUUCCUUUUUUACAACCCCUAGAUCCCUUAUUAUACCUUACCACUCAUCUUCGGCUCAAGAUUUUGCCUACUCCAACAUCACGCCUUCCGGAUUUCUGCUCAAAGUUAUACACCUGCACUGUUUGAUCUGCUGCUACCUCGGGAUCUCCGGUUUUCUUGGGAUUUAUUUCAGAUUCAUUGGGAUUUCUUCCAUCCUCAGUUUGGUCGCCCGAUGUUAAUUGACCUCGAUUCACUUACCAUCUGUUGUUCGUCAUCCACACUACACACUGCCUUCUUCCAUAGGGACUAUGUUUGAACCCUUAACCUUGGGGGACCACGUCAUUCAUUCAAACAUUGUGGUUCUUUAUUUUGGUAUGAAGAAUGUCUACAAAGAGAGAAAUACUUCUGAUCCAAGUUUUAGUGUUUUAGUGUGCUUCGGUAUCAUGCCAGCAUCGGCGAGGUAAACUGGGUCUGCAAAAAGCACAUUCAUUUCCUCCCUUGAGUCCAAAAAUAAACCCUCUAUGACCAUGUAAGUUUUUGUAUUCUGUUCCUCUAACCGUUUUGUGUGGUUAAAACAACUUUUCCCAUACUGGAUUGCAUCUGAACAGAUUGACUUUUAGUGUUCGCACAAUGCCCUCUUGAGAUUAUGGAACGCAAGAAGUAAUAUGCUAAGACAUUGUUUUUGAUUAAUUUUUUAGGAAGUUUAUGCCAGCAUUCUGAGCAGGUGUGCAUAUCUGUAAUUCAUUCACGAUAAGGCUCCUUAAUCGUUCUUCUACUUGCAUAAAUAUAGAAUCAUUGUACAUAUCUCUGUUAGAACUGCUGUGGACAUUUUUUCUCCAUUGUCUUGCCUGUAAAAUGUAGAAUCACACUCAUGUAUUUUACUUUAUAUGUUCUGUUAUUUACUUCCUUGAUUGCAGAAUCAGAGGUGUUGCUUUUGAGUGAUUAACCAGCUGGCCCAUCUGUAAGUGGUUUUGUUUUGGCCAUCUUUUCAACUAUUUUCACUCUAAUAUUUCUAUUAACAAUUUUUAUUUCAGUUUUGGUAUUAGAUUACACACUAAUGGACUCGAUGCGUACUUUGCGUACUUCGCAAUUAGAUUACAGUUAAUUACUUUUACAUGAACGACUAUUCUUUGUGUUUUUCUGUAGGAAGUACCGAGAGACUUUUUUUACAUUUGAUUGAGACCCAGCAGGCUUCAUGCUCAAACUAUCACAUUCUUUUAUCAAUGUUAGCAUUUCAGUGAUUGUAAAUGGAUGGAUCUGAAUUCAAAUCAUUUUUUGUGAAUGUUAACAUUUUAUUGAUUUUAAAUGAAUGUAUUGGUUACAAAAUAUUUUAAUGCCCUCAGUACAUCUGAAAUCCCUAAAUUUGUUCAUUGAAAUACACAGGAUACUCACUUCUGCUAUUCUAUAGAUUGAAUAUAUUGGUGAAUCCUAUUUAUCAAUCACAAAAUAUGUAUGUGCCAACUAUAAUCCUUAUAUUCCCCCUUUCUUUUCAUAUUAUUCUGCUCUUUCAAUGUAUUUGUCUAACCAAACGAGUUAACUCAAGUUGUAUAUAUAAUUUUAUUUUCUAAAUUUCCGCGGCAACGUGCGGGGUAUCA